rnacentral:rRNA from 1 species
AACGAACGCUGGCGGCAGGCCUAACACAUGCAAGUCGAGCGAUCCCUUCGGGGAUAGCGGCGGACGGGUGAGUAACGCGUGGGAACGUACCCUUUGCUACGGAAUAGCCUCGGGAAACUGGGAGUAAUACCGUAUGUGCCCUUCGGGGAAAGGAUUUAUCGCAAAGGAUCGGCCCGCGUUGGAUUAGGUAGUUGGUGGGGUAAGUGGCCUACCAAGCCGACGAUCCAUAGCUGGUUUGAGAGGAUGAUCAGCCACACUGGGACUGAGACACGGCCCAGACUCCUACGGGAGGCAGCAGUGGGGAAUCUUAGACAAUGGGGGCAACCCUGAUCUAGCCAUGCCGCGUGAGUGAUGAAGGCCUUAGGGUUGUAAAGCUCUUUCAGCUGGGAAGAUAAUGACGGUACCAGCAGAAGAAGCCCCGGCUAACUCCGUG